rnacentral:rRNA from 2 species
ACGNGGCGGCGUGCUAAUACAUGCAAGUCGAACGAAACUUUCUUACACCGAAUGCUUGCAUUCACCGUAAGAAGUUGAGUGGCGGACGGGUGAGUAACACGUGGGUAACCUGCCUAAAAGAAGGGGAUAACACUUGGAAACAGGUGCUAAUACCGUAUAUCUCUAAGGAUCGCAUGAUCCUUAGAUGAAAGAUGGUUCUGCUAUCGCUUUUAGAUGGACCCGCGGCGUAUUAACUAGUUGGUGGGGUAACGGCCUACCAAGGUGAUGAUACGUAGCCGAACUGAGAGGUUGAUCGGCCACAUUGGGACUGAGACACGGCCCAAACUCCUACGGGAGGCAGCAGUAGGGAAUCUUCCACAAUGGACGCAAGUCUGAUGGAGCAACGCCGCGUGAGUGAAGAAGGUCUUCGGAUCGUAAAACUCUGUUGUUAGAGAAGAACACGAGUGAGAGUAACUGUUCAUUCGAUGACGGUAUCUAACCAGCAAGUCACGGCUAACUACGUGCCAGCAGCCGCGGUAAUACGUAGGUGGCAAGCGUUGUCCGGAUUUAUUGGGCGUAAAGGGAACGCAGGCGGUCUUUUAAGUCUGAUGUGAAAGCCUUCGGCUUAACCGGAGUAGUGCAUUGGAAACUGGAAGACUUGAGUGCAGAAGAGGAGAGUGGAACUCCAUGUGUAGCGGUGAAAUGCGUAGAUAUAUGGAAGAACACCAGUGGCGAAAGCGGCUCUCUGGUCUGUAACUGACGCUGAGGUUCGAAAGCGUGGGUAGCAACAGGAUA